rnacentral:rRNA from 1 species
UACAUGGGGUGCAAACGUUGCUCGGAAUUAUUGGGCGUAAAGCGCACGUAGGGGGUUCGUUAAGUCGGAUGUGAAAGCCCUCGGCUCAACUGAGGAAGUGCACCCGAAACUGGCGAGCUUGAGUACGAAAGAGGAUCGCGGAAUUCCCGGUGUAGAGGUGAAAUUCGUAGAUAUCGGGAGGAACACCGGUGGCGAAGGCGGCGAUCUGGGUCGAUACUGACGCUGAGGUGCGAAAGCGUGGGGAGCAACAGG